rnacentral:rRNA from 1 species
GACGAACGCUGGCGGCGUGCUUAACACAUGCAAGUCGAACGGAAAGGCCCUGCUUUUGUGGGGUGCUCGAGUGGCGAACGGGUGAGUAACACGUGAGUAACCUGCCCUUGACUUUGGGAUAACUUCAGGAAACUGGGGCUAAUGCCGGAUAGGAGCUCCUGCUGCAUGGUGGGGGUUGGAAAGUUUCGGCGGUUGGGGAUGGACUCGCGGCUUAUCAGCUUGUUGGUGGGGUAGUGGCUUACCAAGGCUUUGACGGGUAGCCGGCCUGAGAGGGUGACCGGCCACAUUGGGACUGAGAUACGGCCCAGACUCCUACGGGAGGCAGCAGUGGGGAAUAUUGCAAAAUGGGCGGAAGCCUGAUGCAGCAACGCAGCGUGCGGGAUGACGGCCUUCGGGUUGUAAACCGCUUUCGCCUGUGACGAAGCGUGAGUGACGGUAAUGGGUAAAGAAGCACCGGCUAACUACGUG